GCUAUAGCUCAGUUGGUAGAGUACCGGAUUGUGAUUCCGGUUGUCGUGGGUUCGAGCCCCACUAG
rnacentral:tRNA from 1 species